AGCCACGUGGCUGUCCUGGCAGCUGUGGCUGUGGCCUUGCUCCGGGGGCUGCCGCGGAGCUGCCGCGGGGUUCCCGGAUAGGGGCGCGGGUUGCCCGAUGUGCGUGAGGAGGUACCUGGUGGGCCUUACCUUUUGUACCUGCUACCUGGCGUCUUACCUCACGAACAAGUAUGUCCUGUCUGUCUUGAAAUUUACCUACCCUACAUUAUUCCAAGGGUGGCAGACGUUAAUUGGUGGACUUUUGCUUCAUGUGUCAUGGAAACUGGGCUGGGCUGAGAUCAACAGCAGUUCAAGAUCUGAUGUUUCGACAUGGCUUCCUGCUUCGGUGCUGUAUGUGGGCAUAAUCUAUGCCGGUUCCAGAGCAUUAUCCAAACUGGCCAUUCCUGUGUUUCUUACUUUGCAUAAUGUAGCUGAAGUUAUCAUCUGUGGGCACCAGAAGUGUUUUCGGAAAGAGAAAACUUCUCCUGCAAAGAUCUGUAGUGCCCUCUUCCUCCUGGCUGCUGCAGGAUGCCUCCCCUUCAACGACUCCCAGUUUGAUCCAGAUGGAUAUUUCUGGGCUGUAAUUCACUUAUUCUGUGUAGGGGCUUAUAAGAUAUUGCAGAAGUCCUGGAAACCCAAUGCGUUAAGUGACAUUGACCAGCAGUACUUAAACUACAUGUUCAGUGUGGUGCUCCUGGCAGUUGCAUCUCAUCCGACAGGUGAUCUCAUCAGUGUCCCAGACUUUCCGUUCCUGUAUUUCUACAGGUUCCAUGGAAGCUGCUGUGCCAGUGGAAUUUUAGGAUUCCUUCUCAUGCUCAGCACAGUGAAGCUAAAAAGCCUUAUGGCCCCAGGGCAGUGUGCAGCCUGGAUUUUCUUUGCUAAGGUCCUCACAGCUGGCUUGUCCACAUUGCUGUUUGAUAUGAUCCUGACGAGUGCAACAGUGGGAUGCCUCCUGCUUGGCGGACUCGGAGAGGCCUUGCUGGCUUUCUCGGAGCAGAAGGGCUCGUAAGGACAGGAAAAAUAGACUCACAGGCUGCUGGCUGGAAUGCACGGCCCCUGAGCCUCAGAGGUCCCGCUCAAAUGUGUUAGAAGGAGAAAACAGGGACAACAAGGCCACCACUUCUCACUGCAUCAAGGAGAAGUCUCUGGGCUGUUGGAGAGAAUUGACUGUGUUGCGUCUUCCUGCUCCGAGAGGCUCACUCAAGCCUUGCUGACCGUGCUGGGCCCAGUGGGGCAGACCCAGACCCGGAACCCCCCAUGUGGGGAUGGGUCUGCUCACCUUGACUGAUAUGCAGGCCUCCUUAUUAAACACCCUUCACCAAACAUGACUAUACGGAGGCGGGCUCAAGGAAUUUUGUUGCACUUUGUUUUAUAUGUUUACAUCUUUGGAGACUUUUCUGGGGACACCUUUCCCUUGCUGUCAUGGGCUUGCCUGGAGCCCCCACUCACCCACUUAGGAGCACAGACAGAAUUCCUCAUGGAGGGCUUUCACGGGGGGCAGGGGCAGAAAUGAGGGUCAAAUGGGAGUUCUGAGUCAAGUAAGACAUCAGCAAGGACGCUGUUACUCCAGAGAGAGUGCUAAAGCCUUUUUGGGGUUGUGUGUUGUGUUGAAUUCUAUACACUCUUGGUGUCCACUGUGAGGCUAACUUGCUCCUAAAUGAUCACCAGAGGGAAUAGGGUUUAUAACUGUUGAUGGAUGUGCUCCCUGGCCAGUGACACAAACAUAGAACAUACGUAUACACAAAAGCACACGCAUUUAUAUUCACAUCCCUUAAAGCUUUUAAUCCAUUGAAUUCCCUGAUGGCUCAGAGGAGAUUUCAUUCAUAUCAUUGAACACUGAAGUAUAUUUUUCGGGCCAGAUUAAAAAUUUGAUUAAGACUCUAAAUCUUCCUCUGUGGGAGUCCAAAGAAAUGAACAUGCAUGAAAUGGUAACUUGCUUCUGAACUCACAGUGAAGGUUUAAGAAAAUAAUGUCUGACUUCAAAUAUUUCUGCUCAUGACAGGUUUUGAAUGCCUGACUGCUCUGCCAGGUGUCGGGUCUGGUCAUGUUGAGAUGUAGAAGGUAGUGAAGUCCCAGUGAGCCCUCCCUGGGCAGGAAGCCAGGCUGGCACUUGUGGUCAUGCACGCCAUUCAUGGAGAACCAUCGUCGUCGUCUGGGAAAUAAGCCUGUCCAUGGAGAAUAAGGCCACUUAGCUCCGAACAGGGAGGAUGACCCAGCUCCUUCUGCUGGACCCUUGCUGUCCAAGAGGGUGAGUAUAGCCAUGUGUGGCCGUCACUGAAAUGAUGUGUGUCCAGAUUCACAUGUGCUGUACAUAAGGAAAGUGAAUGGAGGAGGGGCAGAGAGAGAGGGAGACACAGAAUCCGAAACAGGCUCCAGGCUCCCGGCUGUCAGCACAGAGCCCGAUGCGAGACUCGAACCCACGACCCAUGAGAUCACGACCUGAGCCAAAAUCUGACGCCCAACCAAAUGGGCCACCCAGGUGCCCCUCUUUUUACCUUUUUUAACGGGACUACUAGAAAAUUGCAAUGUGUGUAUUUGGCUCACAUGAUGUUUCUGUUGGUCAGUGCUGAUCUGGAGUGGUUCUUCGACACUGGGCCCGGGAAGCAGCAGAGGAGACAGGUGUUGGCAGCAGCUGCUGGGGUUACCAACCCAGUAACAAUACCUAAGACACUAAGUUAUUGAAUGUUCAUUAAAUGCCGCACACUGUGCUAGGUAUUUUCUAGAUGUCGUGUCAUUUCAUUUUACCAAGGGUGGGUGGGCAACAUUCUCCCCCAGUUUAUCAAGGAGACUCAGAGAGAUUCAGUAACCCAGGGUCACCCAGCAAGGGUUCGAACCCAGGUCUUUCUGAUUAAGCCUGUUCUUCUCAUCUGUACCUGAGAGAGUUCUGUUGUGAAGGAGAAAUGAAACCCCUUACAUUUUACAGGGAGUUGUUGGUUCUGCUCUUAAGUGUUUCCAUGUGGAUUCCUGACAUCGGUGAGGUCACUUGUGGCUUUCUCCCUGGAGGCCACGUCUUUGCCAAAAGGUGGGGUCCGUGGCCUGCGUUCCAGCUGCCUUCCCAGUGUUUCAGUCCGUGCCACCAGCCUCCUCCCUCGGCUUGUGUCUGGGAUCCGCCCUGCACGGGUUGGAGCAACCAGGAGCACUUUGGGAACGGCACUGCCCCCACCUGGACUAUAGCUCUUAACGUCUCCAGAACAACCAGCCACUGUUGGAUUCACAGGCUCCGUUCCUUGGGGACCGGCAGGUUUUGGUGGCUGAGAGGUUUGAAGGUUGAAGGAUCCUGGGUGACUGUGUCAGAAGAAGAUACCCUUCUCUGCACCAGGUCUGCAGGCCCACCAGAGGGGGGGACAGUUACAGAUCUGGCUGAAAACAUAAACGUGCAAGAAUGCAACAGGUGGGGCAUCCGGGUGGCUCAGUUGCUUGAGUGUCUGACUUUGGCUCCGGUCAUGAUCUCAUGGUUUGUGAGUUUGAGCCCCACGUCGAGCUUUGCACUGACAGUGCUGAGCCUGCUUCAGGUUUUGUGUCUCCUUCUCUCUCUGCCCCUCCCCUGCUCCUGUGUGUGCUCUCUCUCAAAAAUAAAUAAACAUUAAAAAAAAUACAGUAGGUGAUUAGUAAUGCUUAGAACGUGAUAAUCUUUCUUGAGCAGUUGGUUUGGGCAAAGUACUGAAAUAGAAUAUGGAAUCAUCUGGAAGUUCAAGUGCUUGGGACUCUUUGGGAGUCAAUGGUCCUUUGAUUCUUGUUCCUGGGAAAGCCAGUGAAAUGAGUGAGGCCACUGAGCUUCUCCUGGCCCUCCCCCAGCUUCAGGCUCUGUCCCUCUACCCUGUCUGGAAGGGGGCUGUGCUGGCUUCUUCGCAAGAUGCCCGCACCCCCACCCCAAGGGUAUUCACUCCCCUGUGUAGUUUCUGGCCCUUUCUCUUAAAGCUGGGCUAGCUCUGUGACUUGCUUGCUGCCAGUAGGACAUGGUGGAAGUGAUGCUACGUGACUUCCAAGGUCAGAUCGAAAGCAGCCUUGCAGCCUUAGUCUUCUAGAAUAGCCUCUGGGAGCCCCGAGCUGACAUGCGGAAGUCUGAGCACCCUGAGGCUUCUGUGCUGCAGACACCAGGUGCAGGCGCUCCAAUAGACAGUCCCUGCUGAGCAUGUCCUUCUAGACCUCCCACUAGGCCACCAGACUGUGAGGGAAGCUGUCUUGGACCCUCUGGACCAGCCCAUCUGCCAGCUGACUGCCAUCAAGUGACCUUAGUUGAUGCCACGUGGGGCAGAAGAAUCACCCAGCCCAGCUGCACCUGCAUGAAUUCCUGACCACACAAUUAUGAGAUACGGUAAAAUUGUUUUAAGCCACCGAGUUUUAGGGAAAUCUGUCCCACAGCAAUAGAUGCCAGAGCAGAGGUCCUGGGAUUCUGGGCCUCUUAGGUGGAUCCACUCUGAGCUCCCUGAGCCCCUCCCUGGAACAGAGUCUUGCUCCAGAAGUCGUCCCUGCUUCUGCUGACCUCUAGCCCCAGAGCUGCCCUGCGGAGCGGAGCAGGGGCCCCAGCUGACUGCCCCGGGCUGCCUAGAGCCCCAUUACAGAGCAGAUCUAUACUUUGCGGUAAGUACCUCCUUUACUCAUUCGUUCAUUCAAAACACAUCGAGAGUCUGCUACAUGUCAGGCUCUGUUUGGGCUCUGUGGAUAUAACCAUGAACAAGACAAACCCUCCUGAAGCUUGCUUGCCGUGAGCAGUGAGCACUCCCUGUGUGAGGGGACAGGGGACCUAAGUGAGCAGAGGCGAAGUGGCAGCCGAACGGAGAGGCAGAAGCCUGUGAGAGGCGGGGAGGCCCGGAGGGAGGUCAGGUCGCCCCCGGGUGGGAUUUGAAUGCUGGGACAACAAAGCCUACGUUUAGGAGUGCCCAUGAUGUUCCAUACGGGGUGCAGGGGCUCCCAAGGUGUGAGGUCAUGGACUGUUUACAACCCUGAAGGUCCAACUUUGAGAUGAGGCCUUGGAGACCCUGACAGGGCAGGAAACCUCCCCAGUCUCCCCGCUCCUCAGCCAAGACUCCAGACUUGUUUUCACUACCUGUCUCCCCGGCCCCUCCCCAUGGUAUGGGCUGUCCAGGGCAUUGCCCACCCACCUCACCCCCCUUCCCCAGAUCACCACGUUCUGAGCCACCCAGAGGAGCCAAGCCCCCCAGUGGCGGCCCUCCCGCAGGGCCCAGGGCAGUGCUGCUCACCACCAGGCCAGGCCCUAGGCAAGUCACCUGCAGGGCAGCUCCUGGGUCCUCUGAACCAGGCAGCAAACCACCAAGGAAGGCCGAGCCCAUUCUGGAGUCUGCACAAGGCUCCCUCUGUCCUGGAACCUUUCUGAGGCAGCAGACACCCUGAGUUCCCAGUGAAAUGAGGGAUUCUUUGCUCCUGCUGUGAGCUGAUUUUCGGGGGCGUGACAAGCAGCUGCACGGCCUUAGUAAAACGAACAGUGGCGUAUAAAGCUUUGUGUGGUUCCAUCCAGAAUUCACUGGGGAGGGAUCUGAAUGAACCAAGCCCCCUCACCCCCUCAGCUCCCCUCCUUUGGCAGCUGAGAGUGGAAUCCCAUUUCGACAAAUGGGCCAAAAGGAACUUUUGAGUCAUUUACUUCCUGCCUGUGGUGUGAAAAGGCCCACGGGGCUGGCAAGGCAAGGCCUUUGUGCCCAUUUGUCUUCACAGUGUUCCUCUGAGGGAGCCUCAGCGAGAGCAGUGGAGCCUUGGGAAUGUGGAGACUUAAUCCAGGCACCAUUCCCAGGCCCAGCGGAUCUGUGUGCUUGGUGAAAAGGGCAGUAGGGCAGAGGUGGAAUAUUAGGGUCUGUCCAGGCUCUCUCUGUGCCCUGGCAGGUGAUGUCAGUCAUUCCUUCAUUAUCUCCUCACUCCCUCAUUCAUCACACCCAUAUCACGUGCCCGUGGGGUGCUAGUCUUGGUUACCGGUGCUUCCGUUUUCCCCAGGAGAGCUAACCUGCCUUCCUGAAGAAGUCAGCCUCUCCACUGCUGAAAGUGAGGCCUGGCUAAUCUUACCAGCGAGGCCAUGGGCCCAUUCCGCACCACCCCCCUCCCCCCCCCGCCCCCCCGCCCCCGAGGGAAGCUUGUGGUCAUCCCCGAGGCAGAAUCUCCCGUGUUCUGGCGGGAACAGCUCUGGGCGACUUUCUGUGUGCUUCUAGAUGUAAAGCAAAUACAGUUGACCCUUGAGCAAUGUGGGGGAUAGGGGUGCUGACCUCCUGCAGAGUCAAAAAUCCACAUAUAACUUUUGACUCCCCAGAAACUUAAUAGCCAGCCUACUGUUGACCUGAAACCUUACCAAUAACAUGAACAGUUGAUUAUGCGUAUUUUGCAUGUCAUCUGUAUUAUAUACUGUAUUCUUACAAUAGUGGAAGUGAGAGAAAAGAAAAUGCUAUUAAGAUCAUAAGGAAGAGAAAAUGCAUUUGUAGUACUUUAGGUAUAUUUUUUGGAAAAAAAAAUCCAUGUAUACGUGAACCUGAUGCAUUCAAACCCAUGUUGUUCAAGGAUCGCUAUGCACAUUCCCUGUUCUCACAGAGGUCCUGGGCCUACAAGAAGGCCUGCAGACAGAGGUUUGUUUAAAAAACAAAACAAAACCAAACCACUCACAACAGCUUUGGGGCACUUGGGGGGCCCAGUUGGUUGAGCUUCUGACUUUGGCUCAGGUCAUGAUCUCAUGGUUCAUGGGUUCGAGCCCCAUGUCCGGCUCUGUACUGACAGUGUGGAACCUGUUUGGGACUCUUUCCCUCUCUCUCUGCCCCUGUCCCUCCCUCCCUCCCUCCCUCUCUCCCUCUCUCCCUCUUUCUCUUUCUCUC